AACUACCCUGUCGAACUAAAACAGUUCGACAUGUACCUGUCGAACUGUAGUUGUAGUUGUUCGAUAGGUACCCCUAUCGAACCGUGAUUGUUCGAUAGGGUG
rnacentral:pre_miRNA from 2 species